rnacentral:rRNA from 1 species
AUUGAACGCUGGCGGCAGGCUUAACACAUGCAAGUCGAGCGGAGCGAGGGUGCUUGCACCUUAGCUUAGCGGCGGACGGGUGAGCAAUGCUUAGGAAUCUGCCUAUUAGUGGGGGACAACAUUCCGAAAGGGAUGCUAAUACCGCAUACGCCCUACGGGGGAAAGCAGGGGAUCUUCGGACCUUGCGCUAAUAGAUGAGCCUAAGUCGGAUUAGCUAGUUGGUGGGGUAAAGGCCUACCAAGGCGACGAUCUGUAGCGGGUCUGAGAGGAUGAACCGCCACACUGGGACUGAGACACGGCCCAGACUCCUACGGGAGGCAGCAGUGGGGAAUAUUGGACAAUGGGGGGAACCCUGAUCCAGCCAUGCCGCGUGUGUGAAGAAGGCCUUUUGGUUGUAAAGCACUUUAAGCGAGGAGGAGGCGCUCUAGGAUAAUACCCUAGAUGCGUGGACGUUACUCGCAGAAUAAGCACCGGCUAACUCUGUGCCAGCCGCCGCGGUAAAAC